rnacentral:rRNA from 1 species
CGCCUCUUGAAGUAAUAAUAUAAGAGGUACUGCCUGCCCAGUGACAAUCGUUUAACGGCCGCGGUAUUAUGACCGUGCAAAGGUAGCGUAAUCACUUGUCUAUUAAAUAUAGACCAGUAUGAAUGGCAAAACGAGAGCUCAACUGUCUCUUUAAAUUAAUCAGUGAAAUUGAUCUUUCCGUGCAGAAGCGGAAAUAUAAUUAUAAGACGAGAAGACCCUAUGGAGCUUCAAACCUAAACUAAUUAUACUUUAUGUAACUAUAACAAUAAUUUAGUACUCGGUUUUAGGUUGGGGUGACCACGGGAUAAAAUUUAACUCCCGAGAUGAAAAAUUAAGAAAUACAUUUCAAAAUAAUAAUAUCAUUAACAUAAUUGAUCCUUAUUUGAUCAACGAAACAAGUUACCCUAGGGAUAACAGCGCAAUCCUCUCAAAAAGUCCAUAUCGACGAGAGGGUUUACGACCUCGAUGUUGGAUCAGGACAUCCAAAUGGUGCAGCAGCUAUUAAAGGUUCGUUUGUUCAACGAUUAAAGUCCU